rnacentral:misc_RNA from 1 species
UAAUGGAAAAUAACUAGAAUUUGCCUAGUUUUGAGAGAUUCC